GUAAUAGUAAUGUCUCUGCAUCAGUUGACAUGUCUUACGUGUUGUUGUAUGCUUGGCAUUAUGUUCAGCACCACUGAGUGUGCGUACUGGCUUUGAUUGAACUGAUUUCAUGUGGAACUGUUGAAUGAAGAUGCAUGUACACUUGUGUGAAGUAAUGUACGCACCANCUGUGAUCAUGCACUGUUUGCACAUGUUUUCAUGUGCUUCCUUGCUAAUUCUUGAUGUCACUUGGCAUAUUAUAACUACCCUCACUUGACCCGUCUUGAAACACGGACCAAGGAGUCUGGCAAGUGUGCAAACUGACUUUGUGUCAAGACUUGCAUGUAAUGAACAUGACUGUUUCAUGACAUCACCACCAAUCAAUUUUCAGUUUGUUGAUAAUUUGAAUGCGAGCAUUGUUGCUAGGACCCGAAAGAUGGUGAACUAUGUUGCAUAACA
rnacentral:rRNA from 1 species